UCCAGACUCCUACGGGAGGCAGCAGUGGGGAAUAUUGCACAAUGGGGGGAACCCUGAUGCAGCAACGCCGCGUGGGUGAAGAAGUAUUUCGGUAUGUAAAGCCCUCUCAGCAGGGAAGAAGAUGACGGUACCUGACUAAGAAGCCCCGGCUAAAUACGUGCCAGCAGCCGCGGUAAUACGUAUGGGGCAAGCGUUAUCCGGAUUUACUGGGUGUAAAGGGAGCGCAGGCGGCGCGGCAAGUCAGAUGUGAAAGCCCGGGGCUCAACCCCGGGACUGCAUUUGAAACUGCCGUGCUGGAGUGUCGGAGAGGCAAGUGGAAUUCCUAGUGUAGCGGUGAAAUGCGUAGAUAUUAGGAGGAACACCAGUGGCGAAGGCGGCUUGCUGGACGAUAACUGACGCUGAGGCUCGAAAGCGUGGGGAGCAAACAGGAUUAGAUACCCCGGUACGU
rnacentral:rRNA from 1 species